CCAGAGAUGGAUUGGUGGCCUUCGGGAACUCUGAGACAGGUGCUGCAUGGCUGUCGUCAGCUCGUGUUGUGAAAUGUUGGGUUAAGUCCCGCAACGAGCGCAACCCUUAUCCUUUGUUGCCAGCGGUUAGGCCGGGAACUCAAAGGAGACUGCCAGUGAUAAACUGGAGGAAGGUGGGGAUGACGUCAAGUCAUCAUGGCCCUUACGAGUAGGGCUACACACGUGCUACAAUGGCGCAUACAAAGAGAAGCGACCUCGCGAGAGCAAGCGGACCUCAUAAAGUGCGUCGUAGUCCGGAUUGGAGUCUGCAACUCGACUCCAUGAAGUCGGAAUCGCUAGUAAUCGUGGAUCAGAAUGCCACGGUGAAUACGUUCCCGGGCCUUGUACACACCGCCCGUCACACCAUGGGAGUGGGUUGCAAAAGAAGUAGGUAGCUUAACCUUCGGGAGGGCGCUUACCACUUUGUGAUUCAUGACUGGGGUGAAGUCGUAACAAGGUAAGCGUAGUGCU
rnacentral:rRNA from 1 species